rnacentral:rRNA from 1 species
AUAUCAAUAAGCGGAGGAAAAGAAACCAACAGGGAUUGCCUCAGUAACGGCGAGUGAAGCGGCAAAAGCUCAAAUUUGAAAUCUAGCACCUUCGGUGUUCGAGUUGUAAUUUGAAGAUGGUAACCUUGGGUUUGGCUCUUGUCUAUGUUCCUUGGAACAGGACGUCAUAGAGGGUGAGAAUCCCGUCUGAUGAGAUGCCCAUUCCUAUGUAAGGUGCUAUCGAAGAGUCGAGUUGUUUGGGAAUGCAGCUCUAAGUGGGUGGUAAAUUCCAUCUAAAGCUAAAUAUUGGCGAGAGACCGAUAGCGAACAAGUACAGUGAUGGAAAGAUGAAAAGAACUUUGAAAAGAGAGUGAAAAAGUACGUGAAAUUGUUGAAAGGGAAGGGCAUUAGAUCAGACUUGGUGUUUUACGAUUAUCUUCUCUUCUUGAGUUGUGCACUCGUAUUUCACUGGGCCAGCAUCGAUUCGGAUGGCAAGAUAAUGGCAGUUGAAUGUGGCUUCACUUCGGUGGAGUGUUAUAGCUUCUGCUGAUAUUGCCUGUCUGGAUCGAGGGCUGCGUCUUUUGACUAGGAUGCUGGCGUAAUGAUCUAAUGCCGCCCGUCUUGAAACACGGAAC